CACGCAUGACACACUGCAUAUCAAUAAGCGGAGGAAAAGAAACUAACAAGGAUUCCCUUAGUAACGGCGAGUGAAGCGGGAAGAGCUCAAAUUUGAAAUCUUCAAGGUUUUACCUUGACGAAUUGUAGUUUAAAGAAGUGUUUUCUGUUGGAGUUUUGGUAAAAGUUCUUUGGAAUAGGACAUCAUAGAGGGUGAGAAUCCCGUAUUUGACCAUUAUUUCCAGCUGUGUGAUACACUUUCAAAGAGUCGGAUUGUUUGGGAAUGCAGUCCAAAAUGGGUGGUAAAUUUCAUCUAAAGCUAAAUAUUGGCGAGAGACCGAUAGCGAACAAGUACCGUGAGGGAAAGAUGAAAAGAACUUUGAAAAGAGAGUUAAACAGUACGUGAAAUUGUCAAAAGGGAAGCGUUUGACACCAGUGAUGUUUUCACGAAAAUCAAUUAAAAAUGAUGGGAUUUUGUGUUGUAUUGACUUUAUCAGCUUUCUGCACUUUUUUCUUAUCUUUUUUAAUGCACUUUUCGUUUAACAAGUCAACAUCAAUUUCUUUUGUUGUAAAAGAGUCAUUGGAAGGUGGCUUUUUCUUCGGAAAAAGUGUUUAUAGCCUUUGGCUUCUGCAAUCGGAGAGAUUGAGGUCUGCAGCGUAGAUCCUUCGGGGUUAGAUACAUUUGUGCUAAGCUAUAGUUCUUUAUAGACAACUUGUUGACUAUAAUCAAUCCUGUAACUUACUCGCUUAUGCUAUUUUACCUACGCUUAGGAUGUUGAAGACUCUACAGAGAUA
rnacentral:rRNA from 1 species